rnacentral:sRNA from 1 species
CAACAAUUGGAAGGAGGUGAUCCAGUGUCUCAUUGUCAGUAUCCGCAGGCUUCGGCCGCAAUGACCUGGGUUCUCGCCUCUGUCGAGAACGCCUGAACAAGGCGCCCGGGUCGCUUUGGCGGACCUCGGUAGACAAUGGAAGGGCUGCUCCGGCAGCCCU